rnacentral:lncRNA from 1 species
CGAGAGGCUCCUGCUGGAGGCACAGCCGCCCGCGCUGGACCGGGCAGGCCGGAAGCUGGACAGUCGGAAAAGCCGAAGGUCUUGCACAACCAGCGUCCUCUGUACCUGGCGGCCGCCCAGCCAUCGACCGGCCGCAGCCCGGGGAAGGGCCGCGCGGGGCAGCGGGACGCGGAGGAGGCGGCGUUGGAGGCCUGGGCAAGGGUGUCAAGUGCCGGGAGCCCAGAGGGCCGCGGGGAAAGGGCUUCCUUCUGGCAGCGGGGCACCCGUGUGGCCUGCGUCCAUCCUCUUGUCCCGGGGCGGAUCACACACACACACACACACACACACACACACACACACACACACACGGCAUGAAGGCCUCGCUGCUCCGGGGGAUCUGCAUCUCACACCAACGCCAGGCCCCCAGGGUCCCCAGGGACGGGGAAGCCACCUGGAAGCCUGGCUGGCCAGGCUUGGAGACCAGGGUGCACGCGGGCUUGACCCAGCAGGACAGGGAGAAGGCUUGUUGAGGGCAAAAGAUGGAACUGGAUAUAAAUCGCAGAAGUGUGCCAGGUACUUGGGAGGCCCUUAACAAAGGUCAGUUGCCUCUCUCUCAAUCCGGGGUUUGGGCAGAGCUGGGGGCUGCCGGCCGUGUCCCCCCUCACCCUCCAUGCAGCCUUCUGAUGACGGUCACUCGGUCCCGGCUGAUGCCACAGAGAGCGCCUGCUGUGGGCCAGCUGCCGUGCCCAGCGCUUCCUGGUUAAUUUGCCAGGCCUGUGUUGGGCACCGGGGACAGGGACGUGAAGGAGACACGUGUGACUUCUGCCCAACAGAGCGGGACAUUGUACAUAAGUCCUGGGUUUGAAAAGACAACAUUUGGACAUUCAACAUCCCACUUCAUAAGACAUUCUGAAGGGGAGCUGAACUCGGAGAGGGAGGCCACCGGGCCAGCAAGUCACAGCCCUGACCCCAGGCCUGGGCGCCACCCAACGGGAUGGGUGCCGCCUGCCUUCCUGGGGGCACAGAGAAGAUGCUUGUGGGGGUAGCACUGUGCCUUCCCCAGAUCCACAUGUGGGAGUCUAGCCCCCGUCCCUCGGAAGAGGCUGAAAGUCCAAGAUCAAGGUGUCGGCAGGACCAGGCUCUCCGAAGGCCCUGAGGGAGGGUCCUUCCUGCCUUGGCAGAGGAGAGUUUCGUUCGAGCCAAGCUGAGGGCUAGCCCGGAAGCACAGCCUUCACGGAGGAGGAAAGCGCCCGGAGAAGCAUAGCUUUCAGCGAAGUUUAAACUAUUUUGGAACAAAGAACAUACACCAAGCACGACACGGAAAAUGAGACAAUAAUCAUAAGCUGUGCUGUGGAAAUGGAGAUAACCUAUGAGAGGAACUGAGAACAGUGCCUGCACAUACACGUCGUUGUCAUCAUUUCCAACACUGUUGCUGUUACCUGCCCUUCUCCCCCACCCCAUCCCACCCCCUUCCCCCAUCAGCACGUGCAUCUGAGUUUGGGGUCCCAGAAGUACAGUUUUCACUGUUUGUUUCAUAUUUGCAUGAGUUACAAGCAAUAGAA